GGAGCCGUGCCUGAAGUAAAGGACCACUUUGAUGUAGUGAACCAUGAGGGUUAAAGUCCCCCCAGCUCCU
rnacentral:tRNA from 1 species